CAGCUGCGAGACUUGGUGUGAAUUGCAGGACACAUUGAGCACUGAUUUUUCGAACGCACAUUGCGGUCUCGGGUACUACCCGGGACCACGUCUGUCUGAGGGUCGGAUAAAUGCAUGCAGAGGGGCUUCUGUCCCACGUGGUCGCACCGGAAGACUCUUCCUCGGAAGAGACUUUCGCCGACCUAAGGCUUGCGAGUUCCCCGACCGUGGAGGCGUCCCGCUAUGGACAGUCUCUGUGGCGGAGUGGCGAUGAUUUUGCUCCUGCCUGAAGAGACGGCGGUUUUAUCAGACGCCGGAGUCGUGGGCUCCUUGUGAAGAGACCGAUCGGUCUUCUUUUUAAUAUUGUCGACCUCAGAUCAGGCGAGACGACCCGCCGAAUUUAA
rnacentral:misc_RNA from 1 species